AUGAACGCUGGCGGCGUGCCUCAUACAUGCAAGUCGAGCGAACGGACGAGAAGCUUGCUUCUCUGAUGUUAGCGGCGGACGGGUGAGUAACACGUGGAUAACCUACCUAUAAGACUGGGAUAGCUUCGGGAAACCGGAGCUAAUACCGGAUAAUAUUUUGAACCGCAUGGUUCAAAAGUGAAAGACGGUCUUGCUGUCACUUAUAGAUGGAUCCGCGCUGCAUUAGCUAGUUGGUAAGGUAACGGCUUACCAAGGCAACGAUGCAUAGCCGACCUGAGAGGGUGAUCGGCCACACUGGAACUGAGACACGGUCCAGACUCCUACGGGAGGCAGCAGUAGGGAAUCUUCCGCAAUGGGCGAAAGCCUGACGGAGCAACGCCGCGUGAGUGAUGAAGGUCUUCGGAUCGUAAAACUCUGUUAUUAGGGAAGAACAUAUGUGUAAGUAACUGUGCACAUCUUGACGGUACCUAAUCAGAAAGCCACGGCUAACUACGUG
rnacentral:rRNA from 1 species